rnacentral:rRNA from 1 species
UACGGGAGGACAGCAGUGGGGAAUAUUGCACAAUGGGCGCAAGCCUGAUGCAGCCAUGCCGCGUGUAUGAAGAAGGCCUUCGGGUUGUAAAGUACUUUCAGUCGUGAGGAAGGUGUUAAGGUUAAUAACCUUAGCAAUUGACGUUAGCGACAGAAGAAGCACCGGCUAACUCCGUGCCAGCAGCCGCGGUAAUACGGAGGGUGCGAGCGUUAAUCGGAAUUACUGGGCGUAAAGGGCACGCAGGCGGUUAAUUAAGUUGGAUGUGAAAUCCCCGGGCUUAACCUGGGAAUGGCAUUCAAGACUGGUUAGCUAGAGUCUUGUAGAGGGGGUAGAAUUCCAUGUGUAGCGGUGAAAUGCGUAGAGAUGUGGAGGAAUACCGGUGGCGAAGGCGGCCCCUGGACAAAGACUGACGCUCAUGUGCGAAAGCGUGGGGAGCAAACAGGGAUUAGAUACC